GGCGGGAUAGCUCAGUUGGUAGAGCACAUGACUGAAAAUCAUGGUGUCCCCGGUUCAAGUCCGGGUCCCGCCA
rnacentral:tRNA from 2 species